rnacentral:rRNA from 1 species
GACGAACCGUACGAACGUUAUUCGGAAUCACUGGGCUUAAAGGGUGCGUAGGCGGCGCGACAAGUUGGGUGUGAAAUCCCUCGGCUCAACCGAGGAACUGCGCCCAAAACUGUCGUGCUCGAGGGAGACAGAGGUGAGCGGAACUUAGGGCGGAGCGGUGAAAUGCGUUGAUAUCCUAAGGAACACCGGUGGCGAAAGCGGCUCACUGGGUCUCUUCUGACGCUGAGGCACGAAAGCUAGGGUAGCGAACGGG